rnacentral:rRNA from 1 species
UACGAAGGGUGCAAACGUUGCUCGGAAUCAUUGGGCGUAAAGCGCACGUAGGCGGCUUCCUAAGUCGGAUGUGAAAUCCCCUCGGCUCAACCGAGGACGUGCAUCCGAAACUGGGAAGCUCGAGUAUGGAAGAGGGUCGCGGAAUUCUCGGUGUAGAGGUGAAAUUCGUAGAUAUCGGGAGGAACACCAGUGGCGAAGGCGGCGACCUGGGCCAAUACUGACACU